AAUAUUGGACAAUGGGCGAAAGCCUGAUCCAGCCAUGCCGUGUGUGUGAAGAAGGACAUAUGAUUGUCAAGCACUUUAAUUUGGGGGGAAGGGCAGUCAGUUUAUCCCUUGCUACUUUGACGAUACCGACAGAAUAAGCACCGGCUAACUUCGUCCGUGCAGCCGCGGUAAUACGAAGGGUGCGUGCGUUAAGCGGAAUUACUGGGCGUAAAGCGCGCGUAGGUGGUUUGUUAAGUUGGAAGUGAAAGCCCCGGGCUCAACCUGGGAACUGCUUUCAAAACUGGCAAGCUAGAGUAUGGCAGAGGGUGGUGGAAUUUCCUGUGUAGCGGUGAAAUGCGUAGAUAUAGGAAGGAACACCAGUGGCGAAGGCGACCACCUGGGCUAAUACUGACACUGAGGUGCGAAAGCGUGGGGAGCAAAC
rnacentral:rRNA from 1 species